UCGCUCUCGCUCGAUCUCGGCUGGAGUUUCUCACAACCGGACGGCAACCAGAGGACAACCUAGAUCUCGGCUUUCUCACCACCAGAUAGACAACUAGAUAUCAGCAUUAACUGGAAAUUAUGGCUGAAGAUGUUGUUGGAUCAGCUGAUGCCUCAGUGCAAAGGAGGGGCAGGGGCCCCACAAGAGCUGUCGAUAUCUGGAACUUGCCAGCAGGAGAAAAAAUACCCAUAACAUUAAAUGAGCUAGGCCAAGGAAUUGGAGAAAAUACAAAGAAAUUAGUGAAGUUUAUGGGAACAAUUGCAAGGAAUGGCGAUCUCUGUCCUCUGAGUUUCAAGCAGUGGACUUCAUUUCCAACUCCAUGUAAAGAGGACAUUUGGAACCUUGUACUAGGUAAAUUUGAGAUAGACAGUAAAGGUAGAAAGUGGGUAUUGUCCUCGAUUGGAAAAAAAUGGAAAGAUUACAAGUCAGAUUUGAAAGCCAUGUACUAUGAUCCAUUUACCCAUGAGGCAAUGUGGAAUUGCCCAAAUAGGGUUCCUAGCGAUCAAUGGCAGAUUCUUGUCGCUUUUUAGAACUCUGAUGAGGGCAAGAAAUGGAGUGUUAUAGCUAGAGGAAACUGGUCCCAACAAAAAUAUGCACACUCUGGGGGGACCAAGAGUAAUGCAAGACUGCGUCAUGAGAUGAUGCAGGAAACUGGUGAUGGGGCACAACCAAGUAAGGGAGUUGUGUGGAUUAAAACACAUAGAAGGAAAGAUGGGGCGCUUGUAGAUGCAGAAUCAAGAAGGGCAAUGGAACAAUUAGAGAACUUGGCAUCACAACGGGCCACGACUUCUGGUGGGUCCUCAGUCCCUAAUGACGAUGACUUCGGUCAAAUAUUUGGAGAGGAACGACAUGGGUACGCACGAACGUAUGUAUUAAGCGUUACUCCUUCCACUCUGAGCAUGAGUUGUAGAAAUAGAGCAUCGGAGUCUACAUCAACAAGAGGAGGUUGUGGGCAUGAGGAUAGAGAUGAACGACUCAGGUGGAUAGAAGAUAACCUUGAAAGGGUGACUAGAGCAUGUAGUGAUGUACAAUAUCGGGUGGGAAGGGUAAUAUCCGUACUUCCUCAAAAUCUUCAAGACAUUCUAAACGAUGAUCGGGAUUUACCUUCAAGAGGUGCAAAGGUUCCUGAUUGAUCAUCAACAUGACUAUAGAGAUUUCUUCCUCCUCUGCUUCUUCCUCAUCUUCUUCAUUGAUGUUGUCUAUGGAAUUGGAUCCAGCCCAUUGAUGUUGUCAGACCAUUCAACAAAACUGAGCUAUAACUGAUGAGUACAUGGUUUACUUACAAUUUAUGCAGUUUUUGUAUGGAUUUUAUGCCGGUUUGAUUAAAUUUCACCCCAUCUUAGUUUGAUUUCAAGAAAGAAUUCAGGGAAAAACCAACUCAAGAAAAAUAAGGCAUAAAGCAAGAAAAGAGAGCCAACAUUUAAUUAAUUUAGCCCAGCCUAGCCAAGAGAACAAUGGAGGAGCAAUCGGUCCAUGUAGCCCAUGCUACACUCUUUGGGAGGACCCAAAGAGAGAGCCUAGCAAGAAGGUUAAAUUCGGCCCAGCAAAGAGGAGGCCCAUUUCAGCCUAAGAACAGCCUAGAGUGCAGCCAAAAUACGCUCAAAACUCAGCUAAGUUGCAGCCCAAAGGGAGCAAGGGGCGACAACUUCUAGAGGCUUCAAGAGGGAGAAAGGGGGCAGCACUCUAGAAGGUUCAAGAGGGGUGAAGUGCACCCAAUUCUAGAAACUUCAAGAGAGGCCUCUAGACUCCUUGAAAGCCUAUAAAAGGAGGUCUCUUGAAGGGAGGAAUGUGUUCAAUUGAUAGAGUUCAAGGCUCUCUAUUCCCUUGAGUUCGAAAUUCUUGAAGAGGAGAAGAGAAAGAGCUAGAUGCAAGAAGAAGAAGGGCUGAAGAGAUCCAAGCAACCAAGGAGAGAAUGAUUUUGGCUCCAACAACUUACAUAUUCUUUGCUUCUAAUAUCCCAGUUAUUUCAUUUGGUGAACAGUUGGACAGGAAUACAGAUGGGAUUCUAACAGCAGUUCGGACAUUGGCAUCUACUGCUUUGUGUGGGAUUAUACACUAUUGUUGGAGAUCAGCCUUUGUUGCUUCUUGGAGUGGCAGAACCUACUAUGCUUAUGUAUAUGUUCAUGUUUAACUUUGCCAAAGACAGACCUGAUUUGGGACCAAAACUCUUCCUAGCAUGGACAGGAUGGUAAGAUAUUUUUCUGCCUCUGCCUGCAUUUUGCACAUUAAUAUAUGUAUUGAAAUAGUAGAGCAGCAAUGUUGUUGGAAAACUGACGUUCAUGGCUGCAACAGUGAAUAGUAGAGCAGGAAGAGAACAUAUAGAUAAGAUAAGAAGCAAGUUCUCAAUAGGACGGAGACCCACUCAUAGAGGACCUGCACCAUGCAGUCAAGAAUCUCUCAGCUGAGCUCUACAACAAAAAUGUCUACUUCCUCAUGGAGCUCAUUCAAGUCUCUCUCUCUCUCUCUCUAAAGAAUCACUGCAAAAGUUUAAGACCUUGGAUUAUUUUAACCUUUUUAUGUUGGUGCUAUAUGAUUCGCUGAUUCUUAUUUUUCCAUCCUAAAGAUUCAAUCAAACUCAAACAAGUGGUUUAGUGGGUUAAUAUUCAAUCAAACCAAGCAUCUAGAAAUUUGUUGGGUUCUUAAUUUCUUAUAAAUAGUUUUUUCUCUUUCUCUGAUCAUUUUGCAGAAUGCUGAAGACAAUGAAUACUUGUCGGAUGUGGAUCCCUCUCUGGAAUUUGUAAUUACAUACAAGGAUAUCACAGGCACUGGUGCUUCAAUAUUUGAAUUCCUUCCAGUUGAGGCUUCACCUUACCAAGAGCUCAACGGAGUUAGAGAAUCUAUCAGAACCAAGAUGCAGGCUGAGGAAUUUGAAUUAUGACUCUUUCCUACUUUUCGAUAUUACAUAUUGUCCUUUUUGGGAGUGGUAAAUUUGAAUUAUGACUGGCAUGCAAAAUGCAUAGAAGGUUGCCAUUUGGUUCAACAAGCUCCAGAAAACAUUUAUCUGAAUCUUCUCUUCUUAAUUUUAAAAAAUUGGUGUUGCAGAUUUGCAUGCAUAACUCUUGCAAGUCUUCCUAUUUUGAAAUAUGUUAAUCAGUACAACAAUGUCCUACUUUCAUUUAACUCUGCACAAACAACAAAACAGAGAACUUUUUUGUCAGAUGAUGAACAUCAUGCAUGGGUAAACAAAUGGAACAUGGAACUGGGUUGCAGGAAGAUGUUUUUAUUGCCCAAUUCCAUUCAAAUGGCACUGAGAAAGUUUCCUAGAAGAGAUACUCUGAUUUCAUGGCUGCACCAUAUUGCAAGAAUACAAGAAAUCACUUUGUUUGAUUUUGCUCGACCUAUUUUCACUUAUCUCUUUGUAAGAAAUUUAUUACUAAACUGGAGACUCUCAAAUUUGUUUCUCCAUUCCUAUUGUCAAUUCAUUUGGGGAUGUAAUAAGGAUUAACGAAUAGCAAGUAGAUCCUUGUCCCAGCACAAGGUAGUAAAUGGGUGAACCUUUUGGGCUCGAAUCCAUGGCCAGGAAGUUAUGAUGAAUUGGGGGAGCAAUAUGGACAAAGUGCUGACUUUUCUGGUGAACAUACAUCAAUGGAGAUGCUUUAUGACUUUGUUAAAUCAUAUAUCAAAGCUACUGAUAUUCUUGAAUUCCCAGGUGAUGCUAUUCUGUGAUUUGUAUUUUUCAACUUGAAAAAGGAAGAAGUUUCCUUGCUUUUGGAUUGGAUCAGAUAUUUGAGGACUAAAUCUGUUGCACUGCCAAAGUUGUUUGAUGAAAGCAUAAAAACGGGGAGAUGGUUGAAAACUUGCUUAGGCUAUAAGUCGCAUAGUCAGUGUUUUUUAUCCAAUAGAGAAGAGAAGUCUAUUUUUGCUGGAAUGCAUGAUUUUCAUGUGAAGUUUCCUAUUCUUGAUGAAAGCUUUUAUGAUAACAGGCUACAUUUAUACACGAGUGAUCUAAAGUGCAUUGGUGUCCGAUCAAGGUACUUGAAUGAGAGGGAUGUGCUUCCUGGUGACAUCACAGGGAAACUUAAAGAAAAAGUAACAUUGAAGACUUCCCAAGGUUACAAAUAUGUUGAUCAAUCUAUUUUUACCUCUGGAUGCCGAAGUAACCACAUUAAGCAGAGAUGGGGCUGCUUUAGAUUCAAUUCUUUGGGAUUCUGAAUGGGAAACUCUCUCAGAUUGCUGAUCUUCCUUUAAUUGAUGAUUCUUACUAUGAGAAGAGCAUAUAUUCCCUAAAGAAUGAGCUGAAAGAAUGGGUGUUGUGAUUGAUUUGGAUGAGUGGUUUGAUUUUGUAACAGAAGGUUUAAAAUUUCCCAAGGACCUAGGAAGGUAACACCAAAUUAUGCAUUUUCGUUGCUCAAGUAUAUAAGGAGGAUACACACAGUCCAGGACACAGGUGGGUUUGCUUCCAGAUUUAUAGAAAAGAAUUGCUUAGCUGACAAGAACCGGUUGAAAGCCAGUCAUGGAUACAAUUCUGCAAAAGGCUCAAUUCAAUUUGACUCAAAAUGGGGUUCACUAUCCCAAAUUUCUGAUCUUCCUCUCAUUGAUGAUGCUUUCUAAUGGUAAGAAAACGAGUUGAAGAUGAUGAGUGUUGUUGUCGAACUCAGUGAUGUAUCACACUUUGUGGUCAAUGGUCUCAAGUUUACAAAAGAUCCUAAAGCAAUAACAGCAGAAAGUGUGUUUGCAUUACUAUAAUGUAUUUGCUUUCUACUAGUGGAAUCACCAAAAAGCCUGCCUGAUGAAUUUUGUCAGAAGAUUAGAAGUAAAUGGUUGAGGACAGUUAUGGGUUACACAUGUCCAAAUGAAUGCCUUCUUUUUUUAUUCUAGAUCCUUUUCCACAAGCACACGAAGGAAAUGUUGGGCAUCUAUUCUAGAACUUGAAGAUGCACCAUAGAAGCCUGUUUUGUUAUAGGAGGAGCCUUUUAUGUUGGCUCUACGAGUGCAUCACUUGGUCCAGGCCUUUCAUUGACCAAAGGGGAUAUGGAUUCAUAAAUGGUUUGAAUUCCAAUUUCUAGUAACCAUAGAAGCUCUCAUGUACCGUUUGUCUAGGAACUAUGUAGUGUUCGACUAUUAAGUUCAUGUGAGAGGGCCAUAAGAAGCCUGCCUGAGGCCCAUAAAGAAUGUUCCUCCAAACCAAAGUAGUAGAAGACAAUGGGCCAUUUCCUAUAAUUGUACAAUAUGUUAUGAACUAAAUUGUAUUUGUGAUUCAAACAUUUUGAAUGGAGAAUGGUUGUUUAAA